rnacentral:hammerhead_ribozyme from 1 species
GCACUGCUGAGGAGUCCUAAAAUAGAUCGAAACGGCCGUCCAGUGC